rnacentral:rRNA from 1 species
UACGUAGGGUGCAAGCGUUGUCCGGAAUUAUUGGGCGUAAAGAGCUCGUAGGCGGUCUGUCGCGUCGGAUGUGAAAAUCCAGGGCUCAACCCUGGACCUGCAUUCGAUACGGGCAGACUAGAGUUCGGUAGGGGAGUCUGGAAUUCCUGGUGUAGCGGUGAAAUGCGCAGAUAUCAGGAGGAACACCGGUGGCGAAGGCGGGACUCUGGGCCGAUACUGACGCUGAGGAGCGAAAGCGUGGGGAGCGAACAGG